AACGAACGCUGGCGGCAGGCUUAACACAUGCAAGUCGAACGCCCCUUUCGGGGGGAGUGGCAGACGGGUGAGUAACACGUGGGAACGUGCCCUUCAGUUCGGAAUAACCCAGGGAAACUUGGGCUAAUACCGGAUACGCCCUUACGGGGAAAGAUUUAUCGCUGAAGGAUCGGCCCGCGUCUGAUUAGCUAGUUGGUGAGGUAAAGGCUCACCAAGGCGACGAUCAGUAGCUGGUCUGAGAGGAUGAUCAGCCGCACUGGGACUGAGACACGGCCCAGACUCCUACGGGAGGCAGCAGUGGGGAAGAUUGGACAAUGGGCGCAAGCCUGAUCCAGCCAUGCCGCGUGAGUGAUGAAGGCCUUAGGGUUGUAAAGCUCUUUCGGCGGGGACGAUAAUGACGGUACCCGCAGAAGAAGCCCCGGCUAACUUCGUGCCAGCCGCCGCCGUAACAC
rnacentral:rRNA from 1 species